UUUAAUUCGAUGAUACGCGAGGAACCUUACCUGGGCUAGAAUGCAGUCUGACCGUGGGUGAAAGCUCAUUUUGUAGCAAUACACAGAUUGCAAGGUGCUGCAUGGCUGUCGUCAGCUCGUGCCGUGAGGUGUUGGGUUAAGUCCCGCAACGAGCGCAACCCCCAUCACUAGUUGCCAUCAGGUAACGCUGGGAACUCUAGUGAAACCGCCGUCGUAAGACGCGAGGAAGGAGGGGAUGAUGUCAAGUCAUCAUGGCCUUUAUGCCCAGGGCUACACACGUGCUACAAUGGGGCGUACAAAGGGCUGCCACUUAGCGAUAAGGAGCUAAUCCCAAAAAACGUCUCUCAGUUCAGAUCGCAGUCUGCAACUCGACUGCGUGAAGCUGGAAUCGCUAGUAAUCGUAUAUCAGCAAUGAUA
rnacentral:rRNA from 1 species